CGUGUCGUGAGAUGUUGGGUUAAGUCCCGCAACGAGCGCAACCCUUGAUCUUAGUUGCCAGCAUUCAGUUGGGCACUCUAAGGUGACUGCCGGUGACAAACCGGAGGAAGGUGGGGAUGACGUCAAAUCAUCAUGCCCCUUAUGACCUGGGCUACACACGUGCUACAAUGGAUGGUACAAAGGGCAGCGGAACCGCGAGGUUAAGCCAAUCCCACAAAUCUGUUCUCAGUUCGGAUCGCAGUCUGCAACUCGACUGCGUGAAGCUGGAAUCGCUAGUAAUCGCGGAUCAGCAUGCUGCGGUGAAUACGUUCCCGAGCCUUGUACACACCGCCCGUCACACCACGAGAGUUUGUAACACCCGAAGUCGGUGAGGUAACCUUUUAGGAGCCAGCCGCCGAAGGUGGGACAGAUGAUUGGGGU
rnacentral:rRNA from 1 species